AUUGAGCAGACCCCUGCCUCCCCAGCCUUCCCCCGCGAGCGGACGCGGCAGCGCCUCUGUCUCGCGUUUUAAAAUCCCCCCCCCCCUUUCUCCUUCCUUUUUUUUUUUUUUUUGCCCUCUUUCCCCUUCCUCCCCCACCCCUCCUUUUCUCCCUUCCCCUCCCUUUCACCAUUUCCUCUCGGAGGCGCUUCCCCCGGGCAGGGGCAGAGCCGGCCCCACCCCCCCGCCUCUCCCCGGCCCGCGCCGCCGAUGGAGAGAGGGAACCCUGUCCCCACCCGGGCACAAGCGGCGGCGGCCUCAGGUCCAGGGGUGUCACGGAACUAAUUCGCUGCCCGACCCGCCGGCUGCAGCUGUGCGGCCCGCGCCCGCGCCCUCUGGCCCCAGUCCCCCUCUUCUCCUUCCUCAGGCGGCCCCAUCCUCGUCCCGUGCGCCCAUCUGCUGCGCGCUGAGGAAAGUGAGGUGGUAACGGCCCCCGGAUGACCCCGCGUCACCUCUGGGAGGCCUACAGCUCUGCCGGGGAGGAGGAGGAGGAGGAAGAGGAGAAGGUAGCUGCAUCAAGCUGGAUGGCAGGAAGAUCCAAAGGAUAUCGUGAAGUUUCCAGGGCCUUUGGAAAACCAGAGACUGUCUCCUGUUGGGAAAGGCAGUCUCUAGGGAAGCAGGUGAAUGUGCCAAAAAUGCCUACAAAUCAGAAUGUUUCUCCAUCCCGGAGAGAUGAAGUGAUUCAGUGGCUGGCCAAACUCAAGUACCAAUUCAGUCUUUACCCAGAAACAUAUGCACUGGCUAGUAGUCUUUUGCACAGAUUCUUAGCUACUGUGAAGGCCCACCCAAAGCACUUGAGUUGUAGUGCAAUCGAAUGUUUUUUCCUGGCUGCCAAGACUGUUGAGGAGGAUGAGAGAAUUCCAGCACUGAAGUUGUUGGCAAGAGAUAGUUUCUGUGGAUGUUCUUCAUCUGAAAUUCUGAGGAUGGAGAGAAUUAUUCUGGAUAAGCUGAGCUGGGAUCUUCACCCAGCCACACCACUGGAUUUUCAUCACAUUUUCCAUGCCAUUGCAGUGUCAGCUAGGCCUCAGUUACUUUUUAGUUUGCCAAACUGAGCUCAUCUCAACAUUUGGCUGUCCUCACCAAGCAACUACUUCACUGUAUGGCCUGCAACCAACUUCUGCAAUUCAAAGGAUCCAUGCUUGCUCUGGCCAUGAUUAGUCUGGAAGUGGAGAAACUCAUUCCUGAUUGGCUUCCUCUUAGAAUUGAACUGCUUCAGAAAGCACAGAUGGAUAGCUCCCAGCUGACCCGCUGUCGGGAGCCAUGGCACAUCACCUUUCUACUCUGCAGUCCUCCCUGCCUCUAAAUUCUGUUUAUGUCUACUGUUCCCUCAAGCAUGCCCUGGUGACCUGUGACAAAGGAGUGUUCAGAUUACAUCCCUCCUCUGCCCCAGGCCCAGAGUUCUCCAAGGACAACAGCAAACCAGAAGUGCCAGUCAGAGGUCCAGCGCCUUCUACCAUCAUCUCCCAGCUCGAAUGGGUGCAAGCAUACCUCUGCUGAAUGCAAAGUAGAGGAAAUGAAAGUGAACACCUUCUACGAUGAGAUCAAAUGGCUCUGUAAUGAAGAUAAUGCUUCAGAAAAUGUGCGUUCUGUGUAUGGCACUGAUUUAUCAAGGCAAGAGGGACAUGCUUCCUUUGUCUACCUUUGCAGCCUGUUUCUGUCAUGUAGCUUCAAGGGUUACCUUCAAGUGCAAACUAAGGUAGACUACUACUCUGGGAAUGGGAACAUGGAAAACCAGGAGAGGCUAUAGAAAGGUGUAUACCUUAUCAGGCUGAUUUGAAAUGAGCCAGAAAAAAAACAUUUAUUUGUAUGGCUAAUUAUAAGUCAACAUUAUUUAAGCACUCAAAGACCAAAAACAGUGUAAAAUUCAAGAUUGAAAAAUUUUUUUAACUAAAAAAUUUGUUUGUAGUGUGUCAGUUCCACCCUUUUCUCUGCUUAAAUGUAAUGUAGAUUACCCUGUGUCAGAAAUUCAGUAUAUUUUUUUUAAAGUUCCAAAAUUCCUAGCUAGCAAACCCUGUCCCAGAAUCCUGAUUUAAUUUUCAUCUUGCUUUUACUUGCUGCUGCUUUGAAUACUUACUGAAUUUUAUGCGUGUUGAUCUUCUCCUGACUUCCACUGAUGAGGAAACCCUCAAAUUUUCUUUAGCGAUUUAGUGAACAAAUUCUUUGUGUAACAGCCCUGUUUAACCCAUGAUUCAAAUUCAAAUUAAUCUGGAAAAGGUACUUCAGAAUUGCCUCAUGAAUGAGAAGAAGUUAUAAAAAAGGACUCCCAUUACCAUGUUGAUUUGUUUGUCUCCUUUCAAUUUCUAGAGUUUGGAAACAAAAUUAUUUUCACUUUUGUUUAUUUUAAAUUGAAGCUUAAAAGUGGCAUGUGAUUAGGACACUUAGAUUUGUUGAAAGCAUUUUUGACAUUCGUAUAAAAGAAUUUGAUAAAAUUGGUAUAUCCUGGUGCUCACCAAAGAAAUAUGUUCUGUAACAGCUGAAAUUGAUUUUUUUUUCGGAUAACUGAUCAAUUCACUCAUUUAUAAUCAGUAGGAGAGACUGACUAGAUGUUGGAGCAGCUCUAUGACUUGGAUCGGUAGUAUGUAAUAGCUGAAUUCAGUGCCCUAGUUUUAUGUUUAGCUAUUAGGAUUUUCUAGAAAAAGUUAAUACCCCUGCCUCCCCAGCCUACCUAUAUUUCUUCAUGACUUAGGGAUCCUGAGCUCUCUGUGCAGUCUGAAGAAGAUAUUGCAGUCAGAACCAUGUACUGAUGAUAAAAGCCUCUGGUAGCAAUAAAGCUUGUCCUUAACCUU